UACGUAGGGGGCUAGCGUUGUCCGGAAUCAUUGGGCGUAAAGAGCGUGUAGGCGGCCCGGUAAGUCCGCUGUGAAAGUCGGGGGCUCAACCCUCGAAUGCCGGUGGAUACUGUCGGGCUAGAGUGCGGAAGAGGCGAGUGGAAUUCCUGGGUGUAGCGGUGAAAUGCGCAGAUAUCAGGAAGAACACCCGUGGCGAAGGCGGCUCUCUGGUACGUGACUGACGCUGAGACGCGAAAGCGUGGGGAGCGAACAGG
rnacentral:rRNA from 1 species